GGAGGGCAUAGCUCAGUGGUAGAGUGCAUGCUUAGGAUGCAUGAGGUCCUGGAUUCAAUCUCCAGCACCUCCA
rnacentral:tRNA from 1 species